AGCUAAUCUGAGAAAUGCAUGCCAGUUAAUGAAUAAUCAUGAUUUCGUCUAGCCCUCCCCACUUCCCCCCCGAGCUAAUGUUUCUAUUUUAUGAGCUUUAAAUCCCUGGAGUGACCAGCCAGCUGACAGUGCAUCGAGCUCCCUGAUCCUGCCCCUCUGCUGGAGGAGGGUGUGUCUGAGGUGGCAGUGGUGGGGUGUCAGGGGCCUGAUGAUCUUCACUGCCUCCAUCCUGUUACUUGAUGGGCCUUUCAGCUUAUCAAGCUAGCCUUGCCUUCCAGAAAUGGGUCAUUCCACACUUGUCUAAACUAUAUGAAGAGUCAAGUUCUGGGCAGUAAGGUACAGGUGACUUGGGGAAUGUGAUUGGGCAAGUCACAUGUGGGCCUCAAUUUGUAAAAUGGGAACAAGGAAAAGCGCCUCUCAGGGUGUUGUAGGGAAUAUCAUGGACUAACAUAUGUAACUGCAUAUAUCCCAGCACCUGAGAAAAGAGGGAGUGGGGUCUCAACAAAUGACUCCUUUCCUUCCUCUUUCGCAGUGAUUAAGAGAUAUGAGCCAGUACUGGAGUCAGAAAGUCUGGGUUAGAAUCUCAGAAUCCUGGCUGGGACCCCCUUUUUUUUUUAGCUGUGUGAACUUGGGCAAAUAAUGAAAGUUCUCUUACCUUAGUUUCCUCAUCUGUAAAAUGGGGCUCAUGUUGUACUCACCUAUUUUGAGACUGAAGGAGAUAAUGUGUUAAGGGCUUACACAGGUGCUCUGCACAUGAGCAAUCAUUGAGCUCUUAUGUCAUUAGGAUUUCUGUCCUUUGCAUGUCCCUCCUCUCCAGCCACCAGUCCCCUUUAAGAACUGUUGCAAAAGGCAGAGAGCCUAUGAAAAGCAAAAGAAUGAUACUUUUACUCCACAGGGAAACUGAGUAAACUAGGUACAGUGAGAGGGAGCCAGUUCAAAGCCAGGAAGCUAAGAAGUGUGAUGGCCCAAUGACCACCUUAUACAAGGGGUGGCUUUGGGGUGAAGGGAGAAGCCAGUUACACUCCCUGAGGCCUGAAAUAGAAAGAACAGGCUAAAACUACAGCAAGAAAGCUGGAGGUGAGACAUUAGGAAAAAUUUCCUUGCUCAAGAGCACAAGUAAGUAGAUGGAGCAAGGGGACUUCUGUGCUUUCUGGGGGAACUGGACCUCAAGGGCUGGGGGCCUAGCUUUGCCUGCCCUGCACAGCAGCCAGGAGUCCCGGAGAGGCAGCAUUUCUGUUGGGAUGAAAAGUAGGAAGCAGCAAGCAUCCAUCCUCAAGGGAGCUGGCGGGUGGGAGGAUGCUGGGUUCCAGCAGAUGGCCCUCAGCCCCACCCUAUCUGGUUGGGCAGAAGUCAGAGGCUCUGGGAGAGUUCAGUCCAGAGUCUGGCCAGAAGUGGGUGUGGGCCCCCUGGAUAUUGGUCUGCCAGGAAUAAACAGACCUCCUGUUCCCAGCCCUGGCCUCCUCCUUGUGGGAUCCAGGAUGUCUGUGUUUCUUCGCUGCUCUGUCUAAACAUCAUGAGUGGGAUGACGUGUGAAGGGAGCCGGGAAGCCUGGGUUCUGUCCCUGGCUCAGCCGUCCUUCUUUACGGAUCAUCCAGUUCCUCUCUGCUCCCCUAUCCGUCGCUGGGACUGACUCAUCCCCAGCCUUCUCCUCUUGGCCCAGAGGCAGGCUCUGGUGCAGGCGUUCUCCAGAUGCUCCAUCCAGCGGACUGCGCAGGCCCUGGAGGCCCCACCCUGUCCCCAUUCUCCUUUCCUCAGGUAGAGCCCGUAUCACGGCGCCCAAUCCAUUACGGCAGGUAGCCCUCCUGAGCCUCCUGUGCCCACUGCAUUCUCCCAGGUAAGAGCGGACGAGCCUUUGGGAGCCUCUGAAGGGCUCUGGCACAAUCCCAUGACUGAGACAGACAGGAUCCCGGCUUCAGGAAGCCCUGUCAGCUCUUUGGGCAGAAGAGCCUGGUCCUUCCUUGAAGGGCUAAACAAGCCAGACUCGGGCUUCCCUAGAAGCUGCAGGAACCACUGUGCUUUGAGCAACUCCCAGAAGGGGGCGGCCUUGAACUUGGAACAGCCCAGGCUUGGGUCUUAGUCCUCUCCAGCUGUUGGGACAAGAACAGGAACUGACAACAGCUAAGUUCGCUCCCCAUGAGGACGAUGCAGCAGCGGGCUCCAGUUCCCUUCCAGGUGUCCUGCCUGUCAGAAGUAGGUGACAAGGGCCUUGUCCUAGGAAAACACUGGGUGUUUUCCUUGGGCGGUGACCUCUUGCCACUGCAGGCCCCAGGCCAGCCCCACUGGGGGCAGCACUCCCCAGGGCACAUGUUUGUUGAGGGGAUGAGCACAUCCUGUGUCCUGAGAGCGAAGAGCCCAUGUAAGUGAAGUCCAGAUGACUGAAUGACCUGUGGCUUUCAGAUUUCUUGACUAUGACUCACUGUGACAAUUUAGGCAAGAUGGGUAUGUAUGUACCUAAGACACACCUCAAAAUCAGUACUUACCCUCAAGAGGUGUAAUGCCCUCAGAUUAGUUUAUACUAUUCUGCUUUUAAGAUUCUGGUGAUGAAGUUACACAUGAUUAACAUACAACACACACGCAAUGAGUGUAAAACUGGAGAAGUCUUGAGUAAGGUCGGGACUGUCAAUAGCACUUUCCUGGCUGUGACACUGUAGUGUGGUUGUGCAAGAUGUUACCACUGGGGGCACACUGAGCGAAGGGCACUCAGGAUCUGUGUUUUUUCUCAAAACUGCAUGUCAAUCUAUAAUUAUCUCAAAAUAGUUUAGGAAAUAAAACAAUUCAUUAAUGAGUCUCAGGCCAGUCUGAAAAACACUGUAUUAGACAGAGACAAAUUAAAAGGGAAAGCAAGAAGGCAGGAACUACUAGGAUGGCCCUCAGACCAUUUCAGGGGUUGGUAAUUCUUUACCAAGCAAAGUUUUGGAACCAGUUUUAUUUUAGAAAUCAGUGUCCUGCUAACAGGAAGAGAAUAUACUCUGCUAGGCCCUGCACUGGUAGGUAAGCAUCUCCAAACACGUAGUUCCAGCCUUUUUGGCUGUUGUAUGAGAAGAGAAACUGUGGCUAGUUUCCAGCAGGCGUACACCUAAAUACCCAUCCGUGUCCUGCAGAGCCACACACACCAUGGAACACGUUUUGGGAUACGCUAUACAUUACUCAUGAUAAAAUAAUACACCAGAAAAUACCUUAAUAUGCUGAUCACUGUCCUGGGAGCUUCUUGGUCACAACCACCCAGACUUAGUAACCAAGCUUUACAGUUAGCGUGCUCAAGUUUACUCAGAAAUGCCAACCAAGCGCACAUCUGGCAGCCUAUUCUCUCCUUGAAGGAGAGGCUGAGGCUCCUGAACCUAAGGUCUUCUGGCUCAAGGACAGUGCUGGAACACCCUCCCUCCCUUAUCCUCUUUCGGACAUAGUCCAGAAAACCAGCAAAUUCUCAUGUAAGAUAGAAAGAUUUUCUUUAUUAAUGACCCCAACCGUAUUUCUUUAGAUACAGGAGUUUUGAACUCAAAUACUUAGGAGAAAACAAGUUAAGACUGCAUUAUCUUGCAACUCAUUACCAGUAACAUAUUGCAAAGCGAAAACAGCUUGGAACAAAGGGGGAAGAGAAGGGGAGUGAGGGAGGGAAG